CGGCGGACGGGUGAGUAACACGUGGAUAACCUACCUAUAAGACUGGGAUAACUUCGGGAAACCGGAGCUAAUACCGGAUAAUAUAUUGAACCGCAUGGUUCGAUAGUGAAAGACGGUUUUGCUGUCACUUAUAGAUGGAUCCGCGCCGCAUUAGCUAGUUGGUAAGGUAACGGCUUACCAAGGCAACGAUGCGUAGCCGACCUGAGAGGGUGAUCGGCCACACUGGAACUGAGACACGGUCCAG
rnacentral:rRNA from 1 species